UUAAGAAACAAAGAGCGCACGGUGGAUGCCUUGGCACUAAUAGGCGAAGAAGGACGCGACUAACAGCGAAAUGCUACGGGGAGCAGUAAGUACGCAGAGAUCCGUAGAUGUCCGAAUGGGGGAACCCACUAGUUUGAAGAACUAGUAUCAUAUAGUGAAUACAUAGCUAUAUGAGGCAAACCUGGAGAAUUGAAACAUCUUAGUACCCAGAGGAAAAGAAAAUAAAUAAUGAUUCCCUAAGUAGAGGCGAUUGAAAGGGGAAGAGCCCAGCACCAUCAAGAGUUACAAAAUCUUUUUAUAGUAGAAUUGUAUUGGAAAAGCAAGUCAAAGAAGGUGAAAGCCCUGUAUACGAAAUAAAGAGAUCUCGGUGUGAGAGUAGGGCGGAGCACGUGAAAUUCUGUCUGAAUAUGCGAGGACCAUCUCGUAAGGCUAAAUACUCAUUAGUGACCGAUAGUGAACCAGUACUGUGAAGGAAAGGUGAAAAGAACCCCUGGCGGGGAGUGAAAAGAACCUGAAACCGUGUGCUUACAAACAGUUAGAGCCCAUCAAUGGGUGAUAGCGUGCCUUUUGUAGAAUGAGCCGGCGAGUUACGUUAAUUUGCAAGGUUAAGCUUUUAGGAGUGGAGCCGUAGCGAAAGCAAGUCUUAAUAGGGCGAAUAAGUAGAUUGACGUAUACCCGAAACCGGGUGAUCUAGCCAUGAGCAGGUUGAAGCUUGGGUAAAACCAGGUGGAGGACCGAACCAGGGUCUGUUGAAAAAGACUUGGAUGACUUGUGGCUAGGGGUGAAAUUCCAAUCGAACCCGGAGAUAGCUGGUUCUCCCCGAAAUAGCUUUAGGGCUAGCGUUGUGAGAAGAGUUAUACGAAGGUAGAGCACUGAAUGGGUGAGGGCCGCACCUCGCGGUACCAAUCUCAAUCAAACUCCGAAUGUCGUAUAAUAUGCGCAGCAGUAAGACUAUGGGUGAUAAGGUCCAUGGUCAAAAGGGAAACAGCCCAGACCGCCAGUUAAGGUCCCAAAAUUAUGCUAAGUGGGAAAGGAGGUGGAGUCGCUUAAACAACUAGGAGGUUGGCUCAGAAGCAGCCAUCCUUUAAAGAGUGCGUAAUAGCUCACUAGUCGAGUGAUUCUGCGCCGAAAAUGUAUCGGGGCUAAGCAUAAUACCGAAGCUGCGGGAUUAGAUGAAGAAUCUAAUCGGUAGGGGAGCGUACUAAGUGCGUAGAAGGUUGACCGGAAGGGCAGCUGGAGCGCUUAGCAGUGAGUAUGCCGGUGUGAGUAGCGAUAAGAUGGGUGAGAAUCCCAUCCGUCGAAAGCCUAAGGUUUCCAGGGGUAAGGCUCGUCCUCCCUGGGUAAGUCGGGUCCUAAGGUGAGGCUGAGAAGCGUAGCUGAUGGACAUCAGGUUGAUAUUCCUGAACCACCAUAAAACUGAAGGAAUGACGGAGGAGGCUAAUCAGAGCUGAUUAAUGGAUUUCAGUUUAAGUACAAAGAGGGUUACGUAGGCAAAUCCGCGUAGCAAAACCUUGAAGUAUGAUGACGUAAGUCUGGUGAAGCCACACUUCCAAGAAAAGUUUCUAGGUGUAUUUUAUGGUGCCCGUACCGUAAACGGACACACGUAGGCGAGGAGAGAAUCCAAAGACGCGCGAGAUAAUUCUUGUUAAGGAACUCUGCAAAAUUACUCUGUAACUUCGGAAUAAAGAGGGCUCCCGUGAGGGAGACGCAGAAAAUAGGCCCAAGCGACUGUUUAACAAAAACAUAGGUUUCUGCUAAAGCGUAAGCUGAUGUAUAGGAGCUGACGCCUGCCCAGUGCUGGAAGGUUAAGGGAAAGAGUUAGACGUAAGUCGAAGCUUAGAACUAAAGCCCCAGUGAACGGCGGCCGUAACUAUAACGGUCCUAAGGUAGCGAAAUUCCUUGUCAGGUAAGUUCUGACCCGCACGAAAGGCGUAAUGAUUUGGGCACUGUCUCGACAAUGUACCCGGCGAAAUUGUAGUACUAGUGAAGAUGCUAGUUACCUGCGACAAGACAGAAAGACCCCAUGGAGCUUUACUGCAGUUUGAUACUGGGUUUCGAUAAGUUAUGUACAGGAUAGGUGGGAGACAAAGAAAGAAAGGCGUCAGCUUUUCCGGAGUCACCGUUGGGAUACCACCCUUAAUUUGUUGGAAUUCUAACUAGUGGUCAUGAUCUGGCCAGAGGACAAUGUCAGACGGGCAGUUUGACUGGGGCGGUCGCCUCCAAAAGAGUAACGGAGGCGCCCAAAGGUUCCCUCAGUGCGGACAGAAAUCGCACGAAAGAGUGUAAAGGCAGAAGGGAGCUUAACUGGAAGAUAGACAUAUCGAGCAGAUACGAAAGUAGGGCUUAGUGAUCCGGUGGAUAUUGAAUGGAAAAGCCAUCGCUCAACGGACAAAAGUUACCCUGGGGAUAACAGGCUUAUCUCCCCCAAGAGUUCACAUCGACGGGGAGGUUUGGCACCUCGAUGUCGGCUCAUCGCAUCCUGGAGCGGAAGUACGUUCCAAGGGUUGGGCUGUUCGCCCAUUAAAGCGGUACGCGAGCUGGGUUCAGAACGUCGUGAGACAGUUCGGUCCUUAUCUGUCGCAGGCGGAAGAUAUUUGAGAGGAGCUGUCCUUAGUACGAGAGGACCAGGAUGGACAUACCGAUGGUGUAUCAGUUGUCACACCAGUGGCACGGCUGAGUAGCCAAGUAUGGACGGGAUAAACGCUGAAAGCAUCUAAGUGUGAAGCCCACCUCAAGAUAAGAUAUCUCAUAUCGUAAGAUAGUAAGAUUCCAUAAAGACUAUGUGGUUGAUAGGUUGGAGGUGUAAGUACAGUAAUGUAUUGAGCUGACCAAUACUAAUAAAUCGAGGGCUUAACCAC
rnacentral:rRNA from 1 species